rnacentral:rRNA from 1 species
UACGUAGGGUGCGAGCGUUGUCCGGAAUUAUUGGGCGUAAAGAGCUUGUAGGCGGUUUGUCGCGUCUGCCGUGAAAAUUCGAGGCUCAACCUCGAACUUGCGGUGGGUACGGGCAGACUAGAGUGUGGUAGGGGAGACUGGAAUUCCUGGUGUAGCGGUGAAAUGCGCAGAUAUCAGGAGGAACACCGAUGGCGAAGGCAGGUCUCUGGGCAUUAACUGACGCUGAGGAGCGAAAGCAUGGGGAGCGAACAGG